rnacentral:rRNA from 1 species
UACGUAGGUGGCGAGCGUUAUCCGGAAUUAUUGGGCGUAAAGGGUGCGCAGGCGGCAAGAAAAGCUUAAGGUGAAAGCGUGGGGCUCAACCCCAUAAAGCCUUAGGAACUAGCUUGCUAGAGUGCAGGAGAGGGCGAUGGAAUUCCAUGUGUAGCGGUAAAAUGCGUAGAUAUAUGGAGGAACACCAGUGGCGAAGGCGGUCGCCUGGCCUGUUGCUGACGCUGAGGCUCGAAAGCAUGGGUAGCGAACAGG